ACUGAGACACGGCCCAGACUCCUACGGGAGGCAGCAGUGGGGAAUAUUGCACAAUGGGGGAAACCCUGAUGCAGCGACGCCGCGUGGAGGAAGAAGGUCUUCGGAUUGUAAACUCCUGUUGUUGAGGAAGAUAAUGACGGUACUCAACAAGGAAGUGACGGCUAACUACGUGCCAGCAGCCGCGGUAAAACGUAGGUCACAAGCGUUGUCCGGAAUUACUGGGUGUAAAGGGAGCGCAGGCGGGAGAACAAGUUGGAAGUGAAAUCCAUGGGCUCAACCCAUGAACUGCUUUCAAAACUGUUUUUCUUGAGUAGUGCAGAGGUAGGCGGAAUUCCCGGUGUAGCGGUGGAAUGCGUAGAUAUCGGGAGGAACACCAGUGGCGAAGGCGGCCUACUGGGCACCAACUGACGCUGAGGCUCGAAAGUGUGGGUAGCAAACAGGAUUAGAUACCCUGGUAGUCCACACCGUAAACGAUGAUUACUAGGUGUUGGAGGAUUGACCCCUUCAGUGCCGCAGUUAACACAAUAAGUAAUCCACCUGGGGAGUACGACCGCAAGGUUGAAACUCAAAGGAAUUGACGGGGGCCCGCACAAGCAGUGGAGUAUGUGGUUUAAUUCGACGCAACGCGAAGAACCUUACCAAGUCUUGACAUCCCUUGACGAUGCUGGAAACAGUAUUUCUCUUCGGAGCAAGGAGACAGGUGGUGCAUGGUUGUCGUCAGCUCGUGUCGUGAGAUGUUGGGUUAAGUCCCGCAACGAGCGCAACCCUUAUGGUCAGUUACUACGCAAGAGGACUCUGGCCAGACUGCCGUUGACAAAACGGAGGAAGGUGGGGAUGACGUCAAAUCAUCAUGCCCUUUAUGACUUGGGCUACACACGUACUACAAUGGCGUUAAACAAAGAGAAGCAAGACCGCGAGGUGGAGCAAAACUCAGAAACAACGUCCCAGUUCGGACUGCAGGCUGCAACUCGCCUGCACGAAGUCGGAAUUGCUAGUAAUCGUGGAUCAGCAUGCCACGGUGAAUACGUUCCCGGGCCUUGUACACACCGCCCGUCACACCAUGAGAGCCGGGGGGACCCGAAGUCGGUAGUCUAACCGCAAGGAGGACGCCGCCGAAGGUAAAACUGGUGAUUGGGGUGAAGUCGUAACAAGGUAGCCGUAUCGGAAGGUGCGGCUG
rnacentral:rRNA from 1 species